rnacentral:lncRNA from 1 species
UUGGUCAUUGACAAUAUAAGAUUUGGAAACAGAAUCUUAAUGGGGACAUCAUAUAUGCUAUGUCAACCUUAGCCAUGAAAUUCUAUGUGAUAUUCUCGAAAUCGAAUUUUAUAUGAGUUAGAUGCUUAAACUUGAAAUCCCGUCAAAAGUCUAAGAUCAUCGUGGUUCCACUACUUCGUUGCAUUAGUCAGGCAUUGUUAAUCAAAGAGGUUUUGGCAAGCAGGUGGUGUUCCGGUUUGUUACUGAUUUUACCAUUCUCUGGACUUCCUGGUAUCAUUUCAUCGUACGUAACUUGCCCUGAUCUAGUGUUGUCCUCGCUUCCCUUUUCUGCAGCUUUCGGUUUAGGUGCCAUUUUUGGUUUCGGCUGUCUCAAUUCUUCAAUGGUAUUAUCACGCUUUAUUCUUGAUAUUCCGCAUGAAAGCUUCUCAGUGAAGUAAGCUUGGUCUUUCUUCAUUUGCCUGCGCCAAUUUUGUAUUAUGGUUAAAAAUGAAGAGUGGUUUUGUUGCAGGUCAUGUAGGUUCAUUCUCACCUGUCAAGAAUGAGCCAUGUCGGCUUUAAAGUUUUUGCAGCCUUCAUAGCAAUCACCUUGGGAGUUGGUCCGGCAUGCACCUCCACACGGAACUCAAUCUGAUGGAUGCCAAAUCAAAGCAAAUAAGUCUUGAACAUCAGGAAUUAAAGAUAGAAUCAUAAAAGGAAGGAAGUUGACCUGUUCCAGCUGACAAAGCUUGGAAAUUGUGAUGAUUUCCUCAUUGUUAGA